GGUGCCCCCCUUGUGGUCGGUAUACAGGUGGUGCAUGGCUGUCGUCAGCUUGUGUCGUGAGAUGUUGGGUUAAGUCCCGCAACGAGCGCAACCCUUGUUCUGUGUUGCCAGCAUGCCCUUCGGGGUGAUGGGGACUCACAGGAGACUGCCGGGGUCAACUCGGAGGAAGGUGGGGACGACGUCAAGUCAUCAUGCCCCUUAUGUCUUGGGCUGCACACGUGCUACAAUGGCCGGUACAAUGAGCUGCGAUGCCGCGAGGCGGAGCGAAUCUCAAAAAGCCGGUCUCAGUUCGGAUUGGGGUCUGCAACUCGACCCCAUGAAGUCGGAGUUGCUAGUAAUCGCAGAUCAGCAUUGCUGCGGUGAAUACGUUCCCGGGUCUUGUACACACCGA
rnacentral:rRNA from 1 species